rnacentral:lncRNA from 1 species
CUGGGGAAGUGGGGGGACUACAUUGCUUCUGCAGGGAACUGUGCUCCCAGCUCCAGAUGAAGCCGUUCACAAGGACAGUGGGAGCUGCUGGCUCCAUCACCUUCUGAGACAGGUGCACCCUGUUAGACGGUGGUAUAGGAGCCACCGAGAUGACCCCAGCAACACCACUGCUCCCCGUGAAGAAGAAGGUGAGGGACUCACAGGUGCAGCUUCCGUCCUAGCAACACCACCACCAACCCAGCACUGGGACACAAAGGGACGCGGGAACAGAGGAGCAGAGAGCCCGAGCACAGUCCCCCUCAGCAACUGUGCAGCCUCCGCCCCUCAGCAGGAGCUCACAGCUGGUGCAAGGGUCCCCCAACAACUCAGCAGCUCCCCGGCACUGCCUUUCCCCGUGGCUUGCAAAGCCAGAUCUGACUGGGAGACCAGAGGCGUAGAACACGCACAAGUUACAAAGGCAGAAUGUCGCUGGCAGGCUGAGUGCAGCUCACUGGCUGGCGCUGAGUGCUUCGACUGUGAGGGGUGCUGGCUGUGCCACUGUGCCUGGGAAGCAGGGGGAGUGGCCCUGUGGACUCACCCCCCCAACGUAAGUGGACAUAUGCCCACUUAUGCCAUCCUUUCCUCUGGGCAUGAACAGUGGCCUCUGUCCUGUGGCUGAGGCUAGGGACACUCUGCUCCUGAUUUCUCGGGGUUUUGGGGAGCACCCUCACUGUGGUGAAGAAUCGGGGCACACAAGGCAACCACUAAGGGGAUGGGCUGCCUUGCG